AGAAGGCUUUCGGGUCGUAAAACUCUGUUGUUAGGGAAGAACAAGUCCUAGUUGAAUAAGCUGGCACCUUGACGGUACCUAACCAGAAAGCCACGGCUAACUUCGUGCCAGCAGCCGCGGUAAUACGUAGGUGGCAAGCGUUAUCCGGAAUUAUUGGGCGUAAAGCGCGCGCAGGUGGUUUCUUAAAUCUGAUGUGAAAGCCCACGGCUCAACCGUGGAGGGUCAUUGGAAACUGGGAGACUUGAGUGCAGAAGAGGAAAGUGGAAUUCCAUGUGUAGCGGUGAAAUGGGUAGAGAUAUGGAGGAACACCAGUGGCGAAGGCGACUUUUUGGUCUGUAACUGACACUGAGGUUUAACGGGGCCCGAU
rnacentral:rRNA from 1 species